GCACACUGUAAAACCUAACAGUGAAAUUCGCUAAAUGAAAUGAGUUAAUUUAACUCAACAUUUUUAAAAAGUUAAUUCAACUCAAUAUAUAUUUGUGAUGUGAACUCAACAGCUAAUUAGGUUAAGCAGAACUCAAUCUAAAUAAGUUACUAUAAAUUAUUUUAAUCUGUUAUUACCAUACAGUCUAUGAUUAUUACAUCUAAAUGGCAGACCACAAAAUAUUUAAAAGAAAUGAGCUUAAUUCAUUAUAUCUAACAUUGUUUUUCGAGAAGUCACGUUUGUACAACAUAGGGCUAUAGGUUAUUAUGCUUUAUAUCUACUAAACUAAAAUAUAUAAUACCUUUCAUAACUAAUUAAAUAACUAAGCCAUAAUAUAAUAAAUACAUAAAUUAUUUCAUAUUAAGCAUAGAUGAAUCCUUUUAAAGUAAUUAAUUUGACUCGAGACAAAAUAUUAUCCGGGUGUUUUUCAAAAACCGCGCGCAUUUUUCCGUCAGUCACGUCCGCUCAUCCAGCUGCAGCUCACUCAGUCACGGGAUCACAGCCGGACGGGUCGCGACGCGGUCACUUAAAAUAACAGCCGGACAGAAACCCGCCAAUUAUAUUUUUAAACUAGAGAGAAGACAGACCUCCUCAUCUCUAACCAUCACUCGCGCCGCAGAUCUGAAGCAAGAGCAAAGGCAGCGAGGGGUGGUGUGAUGUCACUGGCAACAGGACGGCUGCAAAACUAAUAUGAGCCUAAAAUAAAAAAAAGAGGCUACACUCAGAGCUGCUGAGCGGGAACUAUAUCCAGAGGACAUGGCGGGCAAGAGGGUAAGGUAAGCCAAAUGCCUAGACUUUGGUGAGGAAGAUACCACCAGUACUGGCAACAAAUCCUCUGGCUCUGGAAAUCCUAAACCGGUAAUUACACAGCAAAGAUUGAUAUAUCAGAUUAGGGAUCAUUUGUGUAUUGGAUUGUCCAUGAUUAAAUAUUAAAAAUGAACAUCUUUGCCCUAUAGAAAAAGGCCAAGGUUGCUGCACAAAGACGGGCGGAGGAGGAAUUCAUAUCACUUAGUUCAUAUCACUUAGCACAGCGUUCAUCGCUCGACUUGUCGAGACUGUUUUUCAAUAUGGCUGCUGUCUGUAUACGCGUAAUGUACUGUCUUUAUAAAGUAUCUUCUUAUUAAACUGUUUGUACACUUACAAAGUUCUCAAUGCUUUGGUUUGCAUGUAAGGACCCUCAUUAUGCUACCGUGUUAGUGUGAGGCUAUUUUGAGCCUUGUUAGUGGUAUUAACUAGCGAUUUACUUUAACUUAGUCUGUGCCCCAUAUACUAGCGUUAUAAGCUAAUCUGUUUUUAGAGAUAAAACUCUUUACAUUCGAUUAUCAUGAAAACGCAUCCCAGAGAACGAUCUACUCGAUAACCAUGUGUUAAUUACCCCUAGGUUCAUUUUUCACCGGAAUUGUCCUUUAAACAAAAAUUAAAGCUUUUUUGACAUUCUAUUGCUUGUGGUGAUUUUCCUUGUUUAUUUCUUUGCUUAAGGCAGGGGUGCCCAAUCCUGCUCCUGCCGAUCGACUGUCCUGCACAGUUCAUCUCCAACCCUAAUCAAACACACCUGCCUUUAAUUUUCAAGUGAUCCUGAAGACCUUAAUUGGUUGCUUCAGGUGUGUUUGAUUAGGGUUGGAGAUGAACUGUGCAGGACAGUCAAUGGGCAGGAGCAGGAUUGGGCACCCCUGGCUUAAGGUCUUAUUUAUUUAUUAAUUUUUUUUGUUUGUUUACAAAAGGUGAAAAUCGGGAAUGAUGGAACAGUCACUGUCUCGUCACAUUGUUGGGAGACUGCAAAAGCUAGUACCACCCCCAAUGGGAUGGCACGGGUGCUACUGAUGGGGCUCUUCAGUGUGGAUAUCCUCCUCAAGUCCAACCUGAAAGGAGGGGUCAGCAAGCUGGAUCCCUGUGCUGAUCGUCGGAAGGCUCGACCCGAGGAAACUUCAAGCUUUACUAGAUACUGUUGUAAACCAGUUUCCGACGGCCAAGGAAGCUGAUGUCAGAAAAUCCAUUAAUGGUAGAAUCUGCGAGCUAAGACACCAGGUGAAGUCCAAAAGUGUGCUCGUUUAAAUCAGUGAAGAACCAAGAUGGACUCCUAACCAGGAUAACGCACUGUUCUUUUGGCAUAUUUCUUGGCUUUUCCACAGUUUUUAUUUAUUUAUAAUUAUUAUUUUUUUGUUUUUCUUUUAUAGAAAUGUUAUUUAUAUUUUAUAACAGCACUGCUGAAUGUUUAGAACAGACAUUGAAAUUGCUUUAAUUUAUAAUUAAUAUUUUGUGUUCAAUGGUACCAUUUAAAAAUGUUGCACUGUUAAGUUUAUCUGACCAAAUGGUUUUAAUACUGGUAGGCCUGUGUAGCUCUUUAUUAUCUGCCUGAUUAAAAGAAAAUAAAGGUGGCUUUUGA